CAGAGGUGGGGUGCCUACAGAAACAGCCAUGCGACCAGCAGCAGGAAGUGGGGGUCUGCAUUAUUACUGUGCUAACCCAUUUCCCUGCUUCUUGGUAGGCUGAGCCCUGAUCGUCUUAGCUUGUUUAUUAGCUCUGUCCAUGUGUUUCGGGGAGGUGUCUAAGCUAGUCAUAGUUCCCCAGUUUCCCGGUCAGUGACUGGUUCUGGAAGGAGCCGUGACUCACUCCUAGACAAGAACAUGUGAGGCCUUGCCAUGACCUCGUGAACGUGUCCAGGCUAGCCUGCUGCGGGUAGGAGACCGAAGGCUCCCCAGCCAACUGCCACCCAGCCCCCUGAAGCAGAGCCAUCUAGCUUCCGGUAGACCGGAAGAACUACCCAGCUGAGCCCAGCCUGUUACCGACCUACAGAAUGGAGAGCCUCGCCCAGGGGUCUUCCCCAAGCCUAACCUUCAAGGCACAUGGAUGGCAAGCCAAGGCCACUCUGCCCAAGUCCCUGGUCAAAUGCUACCUCUGAGCUUGGGCCUCGAAAGGCCCCACAGCUUCUGUCCACUUUCUUGGCCCCUUCCCACCGCCUUGUGGACAAGCCUGGCUCUCUGCCUGCCGGAGGAUGAGACCACGUGGAGAGCC